rnacentral:rRNA from 1 species
GACGAACGCUGGCGGCGUGCUUAACACAUGCAAGUCGAACGGAAAGGCCCUGCUUUUGUGGGGUGCUCGAUUGGCGAACGGGUGAGUAACACGUGAGUAACCUGCCCUUGACUUUGGGAUAACUUCAGGAAACUGGGGCUAAUACCGGGUAGGAGCUCCUGCUGCAUGGUGGGGGUUGGUAAGUUUCGGCGGUUGGGGAUGGACUCGCGGCUUAUCAGCUUGUUGGUGGGGUUGUGGCUUACCAAGGGUUUGACGGGUAGCCGGCCUGAGAGGGUGAACGGCCACAUUGGGACUGAGAUACGGCCCAGACUCCUACGGGAGGCAGCAGUGGGGAAUAUUGCACAAUGGGCGGAAGCCUGAUGCAGCAACGCCGCGUGCGGGAUGACGGCCUUCGGGUUGUAAACCGCUUUCGCCUGUGACGAAGCGUGAGUGACGGUAAUGGGUAAAGAAGCACCGGCUAACUACGUG